GGCCAUUGCUAUCCGGAUCCGACUAAGCUAUGCGAGCUGAGAGUCUUAGGGACUCGGCGAACUGCUCCGUAAUACGCAGAUAACCUACCCUUGAGUGGAGAAUAAUGUCGCGAAAGUGACGCUAAUGCCCCAUAGGUGCUUGGUGCUGGAAUGCUCUUGCACCCAAAGCUCCGGCGCUCAAGGAUGGGUCUGUGGCCUAUCAGGCUGUUGUUGGUGUAAUGAACCAACAAACCGAUAACGGGUACGGGCUAUGUGAGUAGGAGCCCGGAGAUGGAUUCUGAGACAUGAAUCCAGGCACUACGGUGUGCAGCAAGCGCGAAAACUUUACAAUGCAUUCACGUGCGAUAAGGGGAUUCGGAGUGUUCCAGCACUGCUGGAACUUUUGUUCACUGCAAAUAGGUGGACGAAUAAGAGCCGGGUAAUACAGGUGCCAGCCGCCGCGGUAAUACCUGAGGCUCAAGUGAUGGCCACUAUUAUUGGGUCUAAAGCGCCCGUAGCCGGUUCGGUAAGUUCCUGGUGAAAUCCUCCAGCAGACUGGAGGGCGUGCUGGGAAUACUACUGGACUUGAGACCGGGAGAGGAUGGGGGUACUUUUGGGGUAGGGGUUAAAUCCUGUAAUCCCAAAGGGACCACCUGUGGCGAANGCGCCCAUCUGGAACGGGUCUGACGGUGAGGGACGAAAGCGUGGGUAGCGACCGGGAUUAGAUACCCCGUUAGUCCACGCCGUAAACGAUGCCCGCUUGGUGCCGCAAGCUUCUUGGGAGCUUGCGGUGCCGUAGUGUAGAUGUUAAGCGGGCCACCUGGGGAGUACGUCCGC
rnacentral:rRNA from 1 species